CCCCCAACUUCCAGGGGAAGGUUAUUGUCAAUCAAGAUGAAAAGUGUCAUAAUUUAAGUCUGUCCCAGCCUGACGGGAAGUCCAUAUGGUCUUGACGGGAGGCGCGUGGAGAGGAGGGUUCGGAGCCAUGAUUGACACUGUCACCGGCAGGCGGGCCUUCUCCUGGACCUCCGGGGACCACAUGCACCAGCCAGCCACUUGGACGAGUCCCCAAGCCCUGCAGAAAAUGGAAGAAAGGAGCAAGGAUCCCUGCCCAGCAAACCUGGGGAGGACAGAUUACAGUGACAAACACGGAGAAUAAUUGAUUUCCGUUUUCUCCCCCAAGGGCGCCGGAAGCUGGAACCUUUACAGCAAAUAACGCAUCCUGGAAGUCUGGGGAGCCGCUGUGAGAUCAGGUUCAGGGACCAGCAUGCCGAUAUGGAUACGCACGCUAGACAGAGGCCAGGUGCAAGGUCGACCACCGGGGCCAGGCGGCUGGGAGGAGGUGGGAAGUGUGGUUCUGGAACCGUCCGGUCUCCGUACCCCCCACCCGCCUGACUGUGGCAUGGAUCCGGUGGGAAGAGGCCUUCAAGGACCAGCCUUCAGUUCCUGCCUCAUCAUCUCCUGGGGAUUCCGGUCGGGCCUGGCAGAGCGGCGGGCAAUCGGCACCUUCUCUGGCAAUGCCCGACACUGUGGAAUAGCAGAGCAAAGGGAGCCGAUCUGUCAUGAAGGACAAGUUCAUCCCGGGAGGCCGGGCCGAUCCCGGGCCCAGGUGGGACCUGCCUUUCAGUGUGCUGUGUCUUCUCGGCAACCCCGUAAGAGCCUUCCCUUACCUGCAUGAUGCUGGCUCCAUCCAUUACAUGGACCGUCAGAGGACAAUGCAGGGAAACUGAGGCCCAGAAAGCACUGGCUGGCUGCCUCCAGGCCUGUGUACUGGAUCCAAAUUAACUGCCCUCCAGUUCUGUUUCACGCGGCAGAUUCGUGUAUGCUGCUAAAAAUACAAGCACAUGACUCACCACCUCUGAAGAGGGAAAAGAGAGGGAACUCUGCAUGGCCUUUCUGCUCCUUGGAGCCCGGCCUGGGUGCCAGCAGGGGCCGAGGGCCUGAGAGCGGGCAUGGAGCUCACUCACAGCUACAACAGAGGCAGAGAGAGAGAGAGACGCCCGGCCGGGACCGCGGGCUCCGGGCCGCCGGCCACAUGCUCCGGGCGCGACACCACAGUUGGCCAGGAACCUUUUGCGCCAUUUCUUUGAGUCCUUCCUCUGCUCCACUUUUCAGGGCGUUGCCCUGUGAGAGGAGCGGAUCUCAGUGCUUGUUUGUGUCUUUGCAUUCUGCCCGUCCCACCACCGUCCCGCUCAGACCGGCCUUGGGGACGCCACACGCCCGGACGGCCGGCUGCUGCCGGACCUCCCUCGUCCCACCAGGGGAGAGCAGGUUGCCGGGGGCAUCGGCAGCGUCUCAGCUUUGCCUACCAUGAGCAGGACAGACCCAUCCUGCCCCUCCUCUCCGGAUGCCCCCACGGACCUCGAGCCCAGCACCCUGCCCUGGGAAGGCCGUGCUCCCUCCUGCCUCCGCACCCGCUUCUGCCCCGGGGCCAAGACGCUGGAAGAAAUGAGUCUCUGGAAUUGGGGACUGGUUCAGGCGGCCCCCACUUCCUCCUUGUCCAAACGAGGGCGUUAGCAGGUGCCCCCAAGGGUGACGUGAGAUUACGGGAAUGUAAGCCUGUAAGUCGCCAGCCCCACGCCUGGCCAGAGAGGGAGACCCGUGUGGUCACGGAUUAACGCGCAUUGUUCGUUACGGUGUCCGCACCCCGGCUCUGCUCUCCCGACAUGGGGCCACACUCGCCCUGUCGCCGCCCCACAUCUGGGUCUCUGGCCCCUCUCCUUCCUGGGCCCCUCAAGUCUCUGCGUCAUGGACCAUUGGCUGAAAAGCAAACUCUGUAAGUCCUCACCCCUGGGAAGCAGCAGCUGAAGAAAAGAGAGCCUUCCAGAGAAUUUUCUUGGCAGCCAAGGCCUCCGAUGAAUCAGGACUCUUUUCAGUCCCUGACUUUCUUUCCAGGUGAACCCCUCCGGGCACAGAGCCGGCAGGAAUGGGCUUUCGGGGGACACGGGAGAAAGGAAACAGAUCUGUGCUCAGGAAUAAGGUGCCGACGGCUCCCUGCCGGGCUCCCAAGGAGACCUGCCCUGCUGUGUUCCAGGACUGAGGGGCCAGAGGCCCUUCCGAGCAUGAGGACCCCCCACGGAGGCUACCUCCUCCUCCCUGAGGCAUCCCCCCCCCCCGCCCCUGCACUUGGCUCCCUGAAAAUCACCUACCUAGUGGUGGUCCUCAGUGUGGAACAGGGGACAGGGAAGGGGACUUGGCGUGGGGGCGGGGCCCUGAAACAAGAAUGUGACCAGAGAUGGCCGGCCACACGCCCACCUGGGGCCAGUGCCUCUGUGCCCAGUGCCCCGGGACCCCCCAGCCCUGAACGGCCAGCAGUGAGCCAUCAGGCCAGCUGUGGGCAGCGCUGCCCCCACUCCAGCCCCUUCUCCGUUCUCCUCUGCGAGAGGAGUACCGCAGAGAGCAGGGCAGCCAGGAUGCCCAGUCCCCGGGACCCUCAGGCACGGCGGGCGCUUAAUGACCGGCCGCCCCUCCGUGCCUCUGAUGCACUGGAAAACGCUGGAAGGUAGCUGUUAGCAGCAGACCACAUUAAACAGCGAACCGAUCCAACUAGAGGUCUGGUCGAGUGGGCUCGGCACCCCCCCACGCCGCCACACAUGCACCCCCUUUGUGGGAGCCGGGCAUGGCCUCCUUGAUCCAGAGGCAGUUAAUUACCCUGCAGCAAAGCCCUGUGGGGGGGAGGGGAGCGGGAAGUGGGAAGAAAAGCCCGUAAUUAAACCUUUGAGUGCAAAAUGUUCUUUCCAUGUUGGAGACUGAUUGAACCAAAAAAGAGGUGGGUCCUGCCAGGAGGUUCAUUCCCAAACUGGCCGCCCUGGUUCAACUUGG